UACAGAGGGUGCUAGCGUUGUUCGGAAUCAUUGGGCGUAAAGGGCUCGUAGGCGGUUCGUCACGUCGGGAGUGAAAACUCGGAGCUUAACUCCGAGCCUGCUUCCGAUACGGGCAGACUAGAGGUAGGCAGGGGAGAGCGGAACUCCUGGUGUAGCGGUGGAAUGCGCAGAUAUCAGGAAGAACACCGGUGGCGAAGGCGGCUCUCUGGGCCUUACCUGACGCUGAGGAGCGAAAGCGUGGGUAGCGAACAGG
rnacentral:rRNA from 1 species